AGAUGAGAUUUGGGUGGGGACACAGCCAGACCAUAUCAGUCCCUCAGGCUGGAGCUAGCAGCAUACCUCAAUGAUGGGCCACUGAGUCUCUGUCCUGGAAAGUGAGAUUUGAACGUGAGGAAAACAGUGAGCAAGACUCUUGAGUGCUGAGUUGCGGUUGCAGGAGAGCCUCAAAAGAUAGCCCAUAGCCCCCUGCGGCUGAGUCCCCAGAGCUGGCUUUUCUGUGAUCCAGUCCUUCCAUGCUCUGUGAGGCUCACCCACAACCUGGCAGUCCUUCCAAUAUUUUUGUGUGUUUAUUUGUUUAAGCAAUCCAAAAGGGUCUCUAAGACUAUGUUUUUGUAAGUAUAACUUACAAAGUUAUACUUUGUAACCGAAAGAAGUAUAACUAGCACAGGUAUUAGCAUAUUUCACAAGUUGGGCUGAUAUUCUCCCUCAAUUUUGUCCUUAGUAUUAGUUUCCACAGCAAACUCAUCCUUUAUCUUAGUCCAUCAUUGUGCUUAGCCUUUUCGUGGAUGAUUGUAAUCCUCAAAUUAGUGGCACUCAGUGAGGCCUGAUCCCAUGGAGUAAACAUUUAUCCAAGUCUUUUUGGUGGCAUCUGGGAAGGGAUUUGUCCCUGUGGCGGAUGAUAUAUGGCUUCAAGGCCUUUGCUGCUCUUCCCAUAAAAGGUGGAGUCUAUUUCCCCUUUCUCUGAGUUUAGACAUCAGUUGUGGCUUGACCUAAUACUAUGGGAGAAGUGAUACAACAUGAGGCUUAGCCUUAAGUUCUGCAGCUUCUGCUUUUACAUGCUGGAAUGCUCCUUUUGGGAAGCCAGCUGCCAUGUAUGAAAUCCGAGUGAUCUGGAACUGCCAUGUUGUGAGGAAGCCCAAGCUAACCAAAUACAGCGAGAGGUCUCAUGGAAGAACACUUAGGCACCAGACAUGUGAGCAAAGCCUCUGCGGCCUUCCAGGCCAGCUCAGCCAGUCAUGGUAUGAAUGCAGCUAAGUGAAUGACUCUGGCUGGCACUACAUGGAGCCAAAGAACCGCUUGGCUAAGUCCUGAAUUCCUAACCCACCGAAUCUUCAGCAAAUAAAGCCAUUGUUGUUUUCAGCCACUGAGAUUUGGGGUCAUCUGUUACAUUGCAAUGGAUUCUCCAAACAGUACCAUACUUAAAAGACUUUUCAAGUCAUUGUUCCUUUUCCUUUUUCUUUUUGAAGAACUCCAAAGCAUAGCUUGCCUGACAGAUACUACAUAACCCAACAUCACACCUGGAUAAAUGAUGUUCCCAUGGACUAGAAGGCUGAGAUCUGAUGUGAUGACUGGCGGUGUGGCAGUUGUCUUGUGCUCCUGAGAGAAUGGACAAGACAGUAAUAAAGACUCAUCUGUGACAUCUUCAAGCUGCUGAAACAAUACUGGAAUAUUGGAACUGUUGUCCUUCUGCUAGCCAGGGGCUGGGAAGUCCAAGAUCAGGUAGCCGCAUCCGAUCAGCUUCUUGUGAGGGCCUCAUCCUGCGUCAUAACUUGG